rnacentral:lncRNA from 1 species
AAAGGAUCUUGAUUCGAGUCCACAGUAGUGCAAUCUUUAAAUUUCUUUAUUUCAUUAUUUAUAUAUUAUAAUUAUUGUUAUAUGAUAUCAUGCAUAUACUUUCUCCGUCUCAUAAGAGUGUACAAUUUUUUUUUAUCGUUUUGAUAAAUCAAAUAAGAAUGUGAUUUUUAUUUUUUAUUUUUGAACACUACUCCACCACAUAACGCUAUAAUAAAUUGGUCCCCAAGGAGACACCAAGUGGUGCGAACUCCUGUUUGUGAACAAUGAUGUCUAGGGUUCAAAUCUCACCGCUCCUUCUUCCUGAGCCUCC